CAGAGUUCAUGCCCUUACGGGUAGAUCUCCCACCCUUGAAUACUAUACCUUUGUUGCUUUGGCGGGCCGCUUCGGCUACCGGCUUCGGCUGGUAAGUGCCCGCCAGAGGACCCUAAACUCUGAAUUAUUAGUGUCGUCUGAGUAAAAUAUUUAAUAUUUA
rnacentral:misc_RNA from 1 species